rnacentral:ribozyme from 1 species
GACUAUCAGAUCGGCGAUGAAGUCCUUCUUCUUUUGAAACCUCUUGGUACACUUGCUCCGAAGACUGAAGGUCCCUACGAAAUCAUUCAAGUCCAUUCCAAUGGCAC